CAGCCGCCGCGGGAAUACGAAGGGGGCUAGCGUUGUUCGGAUUUACUGGGCGUGAAGGGCGCGUAGGCGGGCGAAUAAGUCAGGGGUGAAAUCCCAAGGCUCAACCUUGGAACUGCCUUUGAUACUGUUUGUCUUGAGUUCGAGAGAGGUAAGUGGAACUGCGAGUGUAGAGGUGAAAUUCGUAGAUAUUCGCAAGAACACCAGUGGCGAAGGCGGCUUACUGGCUCGAAACUGACGCUGAGGCGCGAAAGCGUGGGGAGCAAACAGGAUUAGAUACCCCUGUAGUCCCUGUCUCUUAUAC
rnacentral:rRNA from 1 species